UCGGGAAUUUUGGGCAAUGGGCGAAAGCCUGACCCAGCAACGCCGCGUGAAGGAUGAAGUAUUUCGGUAUGUAAACUUCGUAAGAAUAGGAAGAAUAAAUGACGGUACUAUUUGUAAGGUCCGGCUAACUACGUGCCAGCAGCCGCGGUAAUACGUAGGGACCAAGCGUUGUUCGGAUUUACUGGGCGUAAAGGGCGCGUAGGCGGUGUGUCAAGUCAGUUGUGAAAUCUCCGAGCUUAACUCGGAACGGUCAACUGAUACUGUCACACUAGAGUACAGAAGGGGCAAUCGGAAUUCUUGGUGUAGCGGUGAAAUGCGUAGAUAUCAAGAGGAACACCUGAGGCGAAGGCGGGUUGCUGGGCUGAUACUGACGCUGAGGUGCGAAAGCGUGGGGAGCAAACAGGAUUAGAUACCCCCGUAGUCCCUGAGCGGGCUGGCAAGGCGCAU
rnacentral:rRNA from 1 species